CCCUUACGGCUCAGUAACACGUGGCCAACCUACCCUUGGGACAGGGACAACCCCGGGAAACUGAGGUUAAUCCCUGAUAGGUGAAAACUCCUGGAAUGGAUUUUCGCUUAAAGGGCAUUUAAACCAUGCUAUAGGUGUCGCCCAAGGAUGGGGCCGCGACCGAUCAGGUUGUUGGUGAGGUAACGGCUCACCAAGCCUAUAACCGGUACGGGCCGUGAGAGCGGAAGCCCGGAGAUGGGCACUGAGAUAAGGGCCCAGGCCCUACGGGGCGCAGCAGUUACGAAAACUCCCCAAUUCACGAAAGUGUGAGGGGGCUAUCCCGAGUGCCGUCCGCUGAGGAUGGCUUUUCCCCAUUGUAUAAAGCUGGGGGAAUAAGGAGAGGGCAAGACUGGUGUCAGCCGCCGCGGUAAUACCAGCUCUCCGAGUGGUGGGGACGUUUAUUGGGCCUAAAGCAUCCGUAGCCUGUUGGAAAAGUCCUCCGUUAAAUCCACCGAUUCAAUCGUUGGGCUGCGGGGGAUACUAUUCAACUAGGGAGCGGGAGAGGCUGACAGUAUUCUCGGGGUAGGGGUGAAAUCCUAUAAUCCCGAGAGGACCACCAGUGGCGAAGGCUGUUAGCUAGAACGCGUCCGA
rnacentral:rRNA from 1 species